rnacentral:rRNA from 1 species
ACUCCUACGGGGAGGCAGCAGUGGGGAAUAUUGCACAAUGGGCGCAAGCCUGAUGCAGCAACGCCGCGUGAGCGAUGAAGGCCUUCGGUCGUAAAGCUCUGUCCUCAAGGAAGAAUAAAUAGACGGUACUUGAGGAGGAAGCCCGGCUAACUACGUGCCAGCAGCCGCGGUAAUACGUAGGGGGCAAGCGUUAUCCGGAAUCACUGGGGCGUAAAGGGGUGCGUAGGCGGUUUUUCAAGUCAGAAGUGAAAGGCUAUGGCUCAACCAUAGUAAGCUUUUGAAACUGUUAAACUUGAGUGCAGGAGAGGAAAGUGGAAUUCCUAGUGUAGAGGUGAAAUUCGUAGAUAUUAGGAGGAACACCAGUGGCGAAGGCGACUUUCUGGACUGUAACUGACGCUGAGGCACGAAAGCGUGGGAGCGAACAGGAUUAGAUACCCUGGUAGCACAGAG